ensembl:lncRNA
AGAUACUCCAGCCAGUUCAGAGGCAGAUGAAGCAUCAGCGGUGGGAGAUGCACAGGAUCCCUUCAGGGCCUGUGAGGGUUACGGAAGAAUACCCAAAACACAGAGAUUACAGCAACAGGAUGUUUAUUGACAACAACUUAGGAACAGUGAGCAAUAAGGUGAGUAAACUGAGCAAUGAUAUUAAUGUGGAGCUGAUGAGGAAUCUAAUCGCAGUCUUAUCUUACAGGGCCAGGAGAUCGUGGAAAGGCAGAGGGAGGAAUGAAGCUCACACGCACGCCGACGCUUGCUUGUAGGUGAUGGAGGCACAGAAACGAUGGAGGACAAGGAUGAGGAGAACAUGCUGGAGAAUCACAGGAGGUGAGUAUAGGAAUGACACAGGAGAACUAGCUUGGAGUAUCCGUAGGGAAAGUGGGGAAUGGGUCCUUAAUGUGUAAAUGAGACCGGACACUGAAGUGAGGUGAUGUGUGUGCUUUUGAAGACAGCGUGAUGAGCGUGCAGAUGAGUAGCAGGUGUGUGUGAUUAGAAUUCAGGUGAGGGGAUGCGCUGGGAUUGGCUGGUGUGAAGACCUGUCUGUUCUGUUACAGUGAGAGGACCAAACAUGUUUUUGAGACAAAAAAAAAUAAUAAUGAUGGCAGCAUCACCUGUUUACAGUUGUUGUCCUACACUGUCAGUGACAAAGACACAUACCAAAGAAAAAAGAAAGUGACAGAGGAAGUAUAAAUGUAUAUAUUUUUUUCCCUUUAAAAUAAGCAAAAGUAUGAAAUAACAUAUUCUGAUAGAGA